rnacentral:ncRNA from 2 species
AUUCUGUUUCAGGGCGGGGUGGAAGUCCCCACUGGCGGUAAACCUGCAUGGCAAGUCCGCGACCCCGAGGCUGCGGCUUCGGGCUGACUUGGGUUAGAUUCCCAGACCAACGGUACAGUCCGGAUGGAAGAAGCAGAAG